rnacentral:miRNA from 1 species
UACACUGGACUUGGAGUCAGAAGGGGGCUUGAGGGUUGGGUCUGUCUCCAAUCGGCUGGUUAUCUUAAGCAAUAUAUGUACUCUCUCUGAUCUGAA